CAGCAGUAGCCACGGUAACACGUAGGGUGCAAGCGUUAAUCGGAAUUACUGGGCGUAAAGCGUGCGUAGGCGGUUUGUUAAGUCUGUUGUGAAAUCCCCGGGCUCAACCUGGGAAUGGCAAUGGAUACUGGCAAGCUAGAGUGUGUCAGAGGAUGGUGGAAUUCCCGGUGUAGCGGUGAAAUGCGUAGAGAUCGGGAGGAACAUCAGUGGCGAAGGCGGCCAUCUGGGACAACACUGACGCUGAGGCACGAAAGCGUGGGGAGCAAACAGGAUUAGAUACCCCUGUAGUCCCUGUCUCUUAUAA
rnacentral:rRNA from 1 species